GAAUUCGAUUAACGCGAAGAACCUUACCUGGGCUCGAAAUGUAGUGGAAUGAGGUAGAAAUAUCUCUGUUUCGCAAGAGACUGCUAUAUAGGCGCUGCAUGGCUGUCGUCAGCUCGUGUCGUGAGAUGUUGGGUUAAGUCCCGCAACGAGCGCAACCCUUAUCGUUAGUUGCCAUCGGGUCAAGCCGGGCACUCUAGCGAAACCGCCUCGGAUAACGGGGAGGAAGGUGGGGAUGACGUCAAGUCCUCAUGGCCUUUAUGUCCAGGGCUACACACGUGCUACAAUGCACGGUACAAACCGUCGCAAACCCGCGAGGGGGAGCUAAUCGGAAAAAGCCGUGCUCAAUUCGGAUUGGAGUCUGCAACCCGACUCCAUGAAGCUGGAAUCGCUAGUAAUCGCAGAUCAGAACGCUGCGGUGAAUACGUUCCCGGGCCUUGUCACACCGAAUCACUA
rnacentral:rRNA from 1 species